GUGGGGGAUAACGCAGCGAAAGCUGUGCUAAUACCGCAUACGAUCUAUGGAUGAAAGCGGGGGACCGUAAGGCCUCGCGCGAUUGGAGCGGCCGAUGUCAGAUUAGGUAGUUGGUGGGGUAAAGGCCUACCAAGCCAACGAUCUGUAGCUGGUCUGAGAGGACGACCAGCCACACUGGGACUGAGACACGGCCCAGACUCCUACGGGAGGCAGCAGUGGGGAAUUUUGGACAAUGGGCGCAAGCCUGAUCCAGCAAUGCCGCGUGCAGGAAGAAGGCCUUCGGGUUGUAAACUGCUUUUGUACGGAACGAAACGGUCUGGAUUAAUACCCUGGGCUAAUGACGGUACCGUA
rnacentral:rRNA from 2 species